rnacentral:rRNA from 1 species
UACGUAGGGGGCUAGCGUUGUCCGGAAUCAUUGGGCGUAAAGAGCGUGUAGGCGGCCCGGUAAGUCCGCUGUAAAAAGUCAAAGGCUCAACCUUUGAAUGUCAGUGGAUACUGCCGGGCUAGAGUCCGGAAGAGGCGAGUGGAACUCCUGGUGUAGCGGUGGAAUGCGUAGAUAUCAGGAAGAACACCAACGGCGAAGGCAGCUCGCUGGGACGGUACUGACGCUGGAGACGCGAAAAGCGUGGGGAGCGAACAGG